CUCUGUCACUUGACGUAGGUUGACAACAGCAGAAAGACCCACAAGAAGCAAGACUGACAGACCAGGGACCGGUGGAAGACAGCACAGUCUAAACAGAGGACGUUGAAAGUUUUCUUUUCAUUCUCUUUGGGGGGAAUUAUUAUUUUAGUUUAUUUAAUUGUUUAGAGACAGAGCCUCAUGUGGUCCAGGCUCUCCUCUAACUCCCUAAGUAACCAAGGUUGGCUUUGAAGUCCUGAUUCUUUUGCCUCCAUCUCCCAAGUGAUAGGAUUGCUGGUGUGAGCCACCAGGUCAACCUCCUUUUAGGAAUUUAAAUCAAAUCUCACCAGUCUGUCUUUGUAAUCACCUGAGGUCUGGGAGAGGGGGCAUGAAGCCCAGGACUCUUCAGCCCUUCUGGGUUGUUUCUGGUCAGAUCCACGGUGCUGCAGGCCAGGGCUUGGGUCCUGGGGCCCAUUUUGUGAGUUUCUGAGAUUUUUCUUCUCUCUGAUGGUGUUCACUCUCAUAAUCGCUUUAAGUAAAUUGUCCUGUGGAGUGUUUCCUUCCCCAGGCAUCAAGUGUAGGGUGUCAAGUUUUUCUUUUGUGACAGCCCACGAUGCCAUUACAUUUUCUUAAGUCAUGGAAUUCCAUGGUGAAAAUUUCAGAGACUCAGCUGGAGUGACGGGCUAAGAACAAUAUGGGUGGAAAAAAGUAUAACUGUCGGAUUUUUCCUUUCUUUCCUCUCCAACUCAUUUUCAGUAAAUGGAGGCUGGAGGCUGGACUCUGGAGGGAGGAUGUCAGCGUGUAGGCUUCUACUUGAAAACUGCCCUGGGGAGAAAGAGACCUUCAAUUACUUGUACCUUCUUGCUCUGCAAUGGGAAAGCCCAAGAGCUUGCUGCAGCUAGAGCCGGAUAAGUGCCUGCGUGUAUGCCAGACUCCAACUGCAACUUAUUGGCCGGGCUGGCCAGCGGCAUGACCACAGGAUGCAGAGCAGGACAGCAUGGUUCUGCAGUUUGAAGAUCACAGAAGAGAGAUGCUGCUUCUUUUACUUCUGGGCCCAGGGCAACAGCUCUACUAGCAAGAGAACACCUGCCGGCUUCUCUACACCUGUAGCAAGAAAACACAGCUCCUUGAACUUGAUCAAAAUGCACAGCAUGAUCUCUUAAAAUCUCACAGUACAGGGCUGCUCACUGCACAACAAUCCUACAAUUCUCUCCAGAGAGGAUUUUUC